UCAGCAAUGAUCGGCAAAUUUGCUUACGCAAAGCUAAAGAUAUAUUCGUCUAAUGAAAUGCGUGUCACCAUAAAAGGAAGCCUGGAAAUGGUAUGCAAGGAAACCAUCUCAAUGGAUGACUAUUUAGCGGCAACAUUGGAUGACAAACUAAAUUGAUUGAGUUCCAAGCUGAAUGUCUAUGCAACCAGGAAUACCGAAGCCAACCAAGAUUGCUGGAAAAGAAAGAAUUAAAGCAGUCUAAAGAGGAUUAUCUUUCGUCGUUAAAAAAAAGCAACAAACGGCAAAAACAGCGGAUUUUACACCAUUUUCUUUUACAUUUGAUAAGAAAUUUCAAAUCACCCAUAUAUACACCCACAACGA